GCGAGGCCGAAAGGCGUAGUCGAUGGGAAACAGGUUAAUAUUCCUGUACUUGGUGUUACUGCGAAGGGGGGACGGAGAAGGCUAUGUUAGCCGGGCGACGGUUGUCCCGGUUUAAGCAUGUAGGCUGGUUGUCCAGGCAAAUCCGGAUAAUCAAGGCUGAGGUGUGAUGACGAGGCACUACGGUGCUGAAGUAACAAAUGCCCUGCUUCCAGGAAAAGCCUCUAAGCAUCAGGUAACAUCAAAUCGUACCCCAAACCG
rnacentral:rRNA from 1 species